rnacentral:rRNA from 1 species
UUAUGGCUCAGGAUGAACGCUGGCGGCGUGCUUAACACAUGCAAGUCGAGCGGAGAUAUGAAAUUGGAGAGCUUCGGCAGGAAGAUUUCAUAUUUAGCGGCGGACGGGUGAGUAACGUGUGGGCAACCUGCCCUGUACUGUGGAAUAAUCACUGGAAACGGUGACUAAUACCGCAUGUCAUUGCGAGAGGGCAUCCUCUUGCAAGAAAAGGAUUUAUUCGGUACAGGAUGGGCCCGCAUCUGAUUAGCUAGUUGGUGAGAUAACAGCCCACCAAGGCAACGAUCAGUAGCCGACCUGAGAGGGUGAUCGGCCACAUUGGGACUGAGACACGGCCCAAACUCCUACGGGAGGCAGCAGUGGGGAAUAUUGCACAAUGGGCGAAAGCCUGAUGCAGCAACGCCGCGUGAAGGAAGAAGGGUUUCGGCUCGUAAACUUCUAUCAACAGGGACGAAAAAAUGACGGUACCUGAAUAAGAAGCCCCGGCUAACUACGUGCCAGCAGCCGC